AAUUAAUCUGUAAUAAAGAAGUAAAAUCAGUUGAUUAUUCUUACUGUGAGAGUUUGGCUGGCUUCUUGAAUCGUAGAGUCAUAAAGGGUCAGCAGUUCUGAUUGAGGUUGAGCCGUUCGACCUGCUGCUCCGACCUGUUCCCUGGUAGCCAUACAUCAGACCAGUUGCAGAGAUUAUCCAUCGAGUGUCCCAGGCAACCAAAGAUAUUGAUGCUGAUAAUGGUAAAAGAUUGGUAGGGAAGCUCUU